rnacentral:tRNA from 1 species
GGGGAUGUAGCUUAAUGGUAAAGCCUCAGUCUUCCAAACUGAUAACGCGGGUUCGAUUCCCGUCAUCCCCUCGA